CUGGGUAUCCUGAAUAGAUUUCCAGGAAAUCCUGGACGGAGGGUUUUCUGGGUAGAUAGGAAUUAGCAACCAAAUGUUCUACAUGCUGCUGGAAAUGGGUCUGCAGGUGCGGUCGGUGAUGCUGUGAGCUGUGUGCACUGUCCUGGUUGUGGAAGAGAGCUGGUGUUCAUGGCCAGAAAUGGCACUGCCCUAGAAGAACUGGAAUAUUUCAAAGCAUCACUUCCAAAUGCUGAUGUGGGGAAUGAUGGGUUCUGGGCGUGUGCAGGUAUCCAGACAAUGGGACAGGCUGCCAAAGGAUGCAUUGAUUAACCACUGCUGAUGCUGCCAAACACGAGGCAUGGUCAGGAACGUGAAGCCCUUGGGAUGCAAAUUCAAAGAGACGCAACAAAUAACCAUAAAAUAAAAAUUAAAAUGGAAAAAAAAAAAAAAAAAAAAA
ensembl:lncRNA